rnacentral:rRNA from 1 species
AGAGUUUGAUCCUGGCUCAGAACGAACGCUGGCGGCAUGCCUAAUACAUGCAAGUCGAACGAGAUCUUCGGAUCUAGUGGCGCACGGGUGCGUAACGCGUGGGAAUCUGCCCUUGGGUUCGGAAUAACUUCUGGAAACGGAAGCUAAUACCGGAUGAUGACGUAAGUCCAAAGAUUUAUCGCCCAAGGAUGAGCCCGCGUAGGAUUAGCUAGUUGGUGGGGUAAAGGCCCACCAAGGCGACGAUCCUUAGCUGGUCUGAGAGGAUGAUCAGCCACACUGGGACUGAGACACGGUCCAGACUCCUACGGGAGGCAGCAGUGGGGAAUCUUGCGCAAUGGGGGAAACCCUGACGCAGCAACGCCGCGUGGGUGAUGAAGGCCUUCGGGUCGUAAAGCCCUGUCAGGUGGGAAGAAACAUGUGAAUGUAAACAACAUUGACAUUUGACGGUACCACCGGAGGAAGCACCGGCUAACUCCGUGCCAGCAGCCGCGGUAAUACGGAGGGUGCAAGCGUUGUUCGGAAUUACUGGGCGUAAAGCGCGUGUAGGCGGUCGGGCAAGUCAGAUGUGAAAGCCUUCCGCUCAACGGAAGAAGUGCAUUUGAAACUACCCGGCUAGAGUACGGGAGAGGAGAGUGGAAUUCCCGGUGUAGAGGUGAAAUUCGUAGAUAUCGGGAGGAACACCAGUGGCGAAGGCGGCUCUCUGGUCCGAUACUGACGCUGAGACGCGAAAGCGUGGGGAGCAAACAGGAUUAGAUACCCUGGUAGUCC